GGGGCCCACCCUAGAGGAAGCUGGCGUACCUCCUAGGCCCCAGGCCACCUUGGUCUCCACUGAAGAGUUCCCAGGGCUGGGGUCUGUGUGGGGGAGGGAAGGCCAGGGUCCCAGGCCUUGGACUCAGAUGCUGCAAGGAGGGGCCUGCUGCCUGAUGGUGAGGGUCUGCCGACCGCGAAGGCGUUGGCUUUGCAUCUGAGUUGGUGUGGGAAGAGCCUCUCCACCCAAAGCCAGGCCAAGAAGAACACGUGUCGGAGAAAGAGCCUCCAAAUCCUGUACCCGAUUUGAUCAAAGCCACCGACCAGAAAUCAGACCCCAAAAGCACGUGAACACCCUGGGGUUCUCAGACACUCUCCUCCCAAAUCCUCAGACUCUGGGGUGCUGUGUAAGCCUCUCAGGGCUCACGGGUCACUCCCACAAAUUCUCAGACUCUGGGUGCCAGGGAGCUACCGGGGUGACACCCUGUGCGCCCCCCAAUGCUGAGUUCCCGAGCCUGCGCCCUCUCCCGGGGGCCUCCUCCUCCUCCUCUGGCCACUAGGUCCCCUCCAUCUUUUCUAGGUUAGCUACCUGCACCUCUCCCUGCCCCCUGGGGCUGGGGCUACACCUGGCAGGGAGAGGCCCGCCGUCCAUGAGCUUUGCUGAAUAGCAGAAGGUGGGCAGCGGUCUGACUGUGUGCCUCACCUGAGCCGCGCCCGGAUCUCAGCGAACAGGAGUACGGUACAGACCGGUGUGAGUGCAGAGACCUCUCGGGUGAUGGACAAUGGCCAGGAGAAACAGGGUCUGCUGAAACUGGGACCAGCAGGCAGAUGCCUGCACUGGCAGCCAGAGGGGUGGACGAGAACCGCCAGAGAUGGUGAGUGCAAACCGGGGGAGACCACGGAGGCCUUGGAGGCUGUCCCCUCCUCCAGGGGCCCGCCCUGACAGCCAUUCCCAACCAAUGUGGCCCCCCUGGGGUCCUGCCUCACUGCCCCUUGGACACUCGGAAGCCCCACUUCUGCUUUCCGGCUGCCGGAGGUGCUGUCCGCGUGGUGAGCUCCGAGGAGCACCUGCGUCGCCCGGAGAGCCUGCUGAAGGCGCCCGGGAUGGAACCCUGUGUGUCCAGCCCUGCCUGGAGGGGGGGUCCUCUCUACCCUGGGUGCGGUGGGGAGCUCCCCCUGACACCCAGGUUAGAGGGUCGGUCCCCUAGUGAAACCCCGCUGUCGCUGGAGAGACUCCUGGGUGGGGCCCAGGGGCUCUUCACAGAACUGGGCCCACUGCUGGGUGCCUGCUGAGCCUGGGGCCAGUUGAUGGGAGUCCAGGACCCUCCUACUGAGUGGUGGACAGCCGUCACAGCCUGUGCCCCAAAGGCAAGUGUGCCCAGGAGGUCUGGGCCUUCGGCCACCUUGCUGGGAACGAGUCACGGAGUCCGCGUCUGCCAUGGAGGCUGCUCGAGCCCGGGUUUGUGCCGCGGGUUCUAGGUCUCGGGCACGUCCCCAAGGGCAUGCUGUAUGACAGUCAGGUGAGCUGACUGGGGCCACCGCUGGCUGUGCCAGUCUCUCUUUGAGAUGUGUGACAGGUAGAGAAGGGUCUUGUCAUGAUGGUGGGCAGGUCUGCUUUCCAGGGGAGGAAGUGGAGGCAGCGGCAGUAUUGAGAAGCCCCCCAGGCCCUGGCAAUACUCGGAGCUCCCGAGCCAUGCCCAGCACUGACCACUCUACCACACUCCCUCAGGCCACCUCUGGCCAGGAGGAGGAGUGGCUCUCCUGCCAGUGUUGUGACCACCGUCCUUUCCCUCGGGUCACUUCAUGAUCUUGAUACGCAAAUGCCCAGUCUACUUUUGUCAAAAUCCUCCUCUGAGCUGUUUAAUUCUGGUGAAUCUGAGCACUGUACCCACGACUCCCACAGGACCGGCUUCCACGUCUCCUCUGAAAACGCUUCUUGACGCUCACAUUAGCCUUGCCCACGUGAGAAAGCCCAGCAGGUCACAAGUGGGUCCCACGACACCCAGAAUUCAAAGCAAAAACUGUCUGGGUGACUUGUUGAUGCCAGCCAAGAGCUCCGGCCCCUCUCAGCUCUGACCACUCUCUGCAGACAGCCUCCAACAGGGCCUCUUGGGACUGGCCAGGGACGCAGCAGGAGGCAGGUGCCAGGGGCUCGUUCCUCCCUGCACCCUGUGGCCUUUCCACUGGACUGCUCACCUGCCUGCCACCCCAGGAGGACAUCCUGAGUCCCUACUGCGGUCAGCCUCGGGGGAGGGCCACCUGGGUGAGUUGAGUCCUGGCCACUCAGGGCCCCUUGAGCUUCUCUUUUGCUCUCUGGGGGCAUUUUGUGUGGGCAUAGGUGGGAUUUUAGCUGCUGUGUGGACAACGGGGUCAGAAUAAGGGCUUAGGGGCCCAUGAAAGAGCCGGCACAGAGCACACCGCUCCUGACAGCUGUGGGGGCUGCUGGAGCCGCAGGGUCUGCUUGCUCAGGGGGCCCUGCAGGGUCCAGGGCUGGCUCCGUCCACCCUGUCUCCCCCCUAUAGGCACUGCUUUGGGAGAGCUCAAGACAAGUCCUGUGCCUGCUACAACAAAAGCCCUCUCCUGAAGCCUCUGGAAUGUGGCCGAGCUCAGCCCACCCACUGCUGCCCACCUCUGGACCUGCUGCUCUUGGCAGACUCCACCCAGAGUUUAACGCCCAAGCCACCACCACAGCAGUGUCCAGGCCAUCUGCUCUGGCAACGGCUACCCUCGGAGCAUCCUCCAGAUGGUGACAAACUGCAGAGCUUGCAGACCUGGCCACCCCCACAGCGGAUGCUGGAGGAGUCCCCUGCAACCAGCUAAGCUCAUGUCACCGGCAGAGGCUUCUAAAUAUAGCAGCAGGCUUCACAUGGGAAGGGACUUCCAAAUGGACCUUCAGGAGAACCAGAUGUCAGCUGGACGCGGCUCCAAGUCUUCCCACCCGUUAUUUCCUGGAGAGGGCAGCCAUGCACAGAACCCAGGCCCACCAUGCCUGUCCUGGGGGCUCUCCCAGCUCACUGUUGGGCAGGAGGAGGGCACCAUUCCUCUGCACCCCCUGGAGUUUGCAGAUGCUGUGGCCCACACUGCUCCAGCCGAGCAUGGUCAUUGAGACCUGUCACCGAGUGACAGAAUGCUCACGUCCACUCCAGGGCAGCCACUGUUCCUUCCACAUUUGCAGAUGGCAAGGACCUCAAGUGUUCACUUGGUUGUUUCUCGGAGCCAGGAAGACAGUGUGAAUGGAUCACGGCACUUGAAGACAACCAAGAACAGCCCCGACUACUCCCCACGCUCCCCUGGGUCCACUGGUCUUUCUGUCUUUCUGGUCCAGGCCUUUUUCCUUCUAAUCCCUCCCUGUGUUCUGCCGAAGGAGCUGCAGACCCUCACUGUGGGAGUCACAGCUGCAGUUCUUCCUGGGCUGGUGUUACAGGGUCCCUGUCCUGAGGACAGUGCCGUGGCUGUGAUGUUUCUUUCCUGGGGUGGCCUGUUUCUCCAGAGCAGAGGCUGUGGCUGGAUGUGCGGGGUAGCCUGGUGACUCACCGCCUUCCAUAUCAGCCUGAUGCUUUGAGGUCAGCUCUCGCAAAUAGCUCAAAUCUCAACAGACCAAGUCCAAGCAAAUACCUUGCCAAUCCCCACAAGAAACAGCUCUCGCUGCCCUUCAAAGGACAAAAAUGGUCAUUGGCAAGGGAGUCUUGGUGCACACAGGGUUGGCUUUGGAGGCACUGCACACGGCCAGCUCCAGCUUCUCCCAGACUUCCCUCCAGAGAGAGGUGUCAGAGCAGAACUUGGAGUGGCUCCUGAGCCGGGAUUUCUAUCCCGGAGUCCACUGUGAGCGCUGUCCAGGCAGGGACCCGAGCAGGCAGCCCUCGGCAGCUGUGGAAGGACAAUCGGUCCCCGUGGUCCCAGGUGGUUUCUGUAUGUUACCCAACCCCCUGGGGGGGUGGAUGGACUGUUUUCUAGAAGGUUCUUGGACUCUGAGGAGAUUCGGCUCUGGCAUGUCAGAGGCACAGUGUCCUGACCCCCUCUCCUCUCCUGGGCCUCCUCUUUCUUUCCACGUGCAGCGCUUUAAGUCACUGUUGUCAGUCUCCCUAGCUAAACACUGGCAUUUCUAAGUGAUCCUUCCCUCCCGCCCUCUCUUCCUUCCUUCCUUAACACCGGGGAUUGAACCCAGGGGUGCUUGACCAUUGAGCCCAUCCCCAGCCCUUUUUGUUUUUAGUUUUAGGACAAGGUCUACCAAUUGCCCAGCCUGACCUCAAACUUGGGCCUCCCCGGCCUUGACCUCCCGAGUCUCUGGGAUCAGAGGCACGCGCCGCCACACCCAGCUUUAGAUGACCUUUUAAAUAAAAAUAAUCACUUUGAA